GACAUACCCAUGGACCAGUGGGCAUUGUUUGUUAAUUAUCGCAGGAACCUGAAAACACAGGAGCUUUGUAGGGAGAAUCAACAGAGUCGACAAAACCAAAUUCCUCAUACCGGUGGCGCUAAGAGUUUGGCUAGAAGAAGGGCCGAAAUGAAGGCAAAGGGAAAAGCUGUUGAUUGAGGCCAAAUGUGGAUGGAGACUCAUAAGAGAAAAGAUGGGAGUUAUGUAACUGAUGAGGCUAGGGUGAUUGAGGCAUCAGAUUUAGGGGGUGGUGCUCUGUCACCAAUUUGAGCAAGAAGAUCUACAGAUGGAAGCAACAAGGAUGAUGGUUGAAGUGCCGAUUUGAAAUCAUUUUUAGGAUGAACGUUGAUAUUUUUGGAUAUUCUUGUUGGCUAAUACGUUGAAACUAUAGUAUUUUGAUGAUGUAAUUUUGGAGUGUUGAAUAACACUUUGAAACUUUGAUGAAUAUGUUCAAUAUUUUGCUUAUUUGCUCUUUUA